rnacentral:tRNA from 1 species
GGAGAGAUGGCCGAGUGGUUUAAGGCGUAGCAUUGGAAUUGCUAUGUAGGCUUUUGUUUACCGAGGGUUCGAAUCCUUCUCUUUCCG